UACAGGUAUGAGCCACCAUGCCCAGCCAAAUGUUUGAUUUUUUUUUCAAAUGUUUUUUCUGUAUCUAUUGGGUGGAUCAUAUGGUUUUUCUUUUUAGUCUUUACUAUGAUGAAUGACAAUGGUUGAUUUUUGAAUAUUAAACCUACCUUGAAUUCCUAAGGAUUUAAAACACCAUUUCAUCAUGAGGUAUUAUUCAUUUCUAUAUGUCAUUAGAUUCAAUACAUUAAAAUCUUAUUUAAAAUGUUUGCAUCUGUUUUCAUGAGAAGUAUUGGUCUUUAAUUUUCUCAUCUUGUAAUUUCUUAGUCUGGUUUUGAUGUUAGGUAACUGGCCUCAUAGGAUGAAUUGGGAAGUGUUUCCUUCUGUUCAAUUUUUUUAGAAGUGCAGGCAUACCUCAGAGAUAUUGCAAGUUCAGUUCCAGGCCACUGCAAUAAGGCAAAUCACACAUUUUUUUUUGUUUUCCAGUGCAUAUAAAAGCAUGUUCUGCACAUUUAUCCCAGAACUUAAGGUUUAAUAAUAAAAGAAAAAAAGUUAUGUUUACACUCUGCUGUAAUCUAUUAAGUGUGCAAUAGCUUUAUGUCUUUAAAACAAUGUACAUACCUUAAUUUUUUUAAAACUUUAUUGCUAAGAAUUGCUGACACAGAGACAUGAAGUGAGCAUAUGCUGUUGGAGACAAGGUGCUGAUAUGUUUGACGCAGGAUUGCCACAAACCUUCAAUCUGUAAAACAAAGCACAACAAAACAAGGUAUGCAGAAGCAGUCCAGGCAGUACAAUCAGCCAAAACUGAUUAUGAAUUCUGGUUAUACAGCUUCCCAGCUGGGGAACCUUGAGCAAUUCAUCCACCUCUCUGGGCCCCGGUUAUGAAUAAAAUAUAAAAGAAAAUGCAGGCCACAUGAGUUUUGCAGAGCAGACGUAGAAAGCAGAGAAUGAAAAAAAGAAAAAGAGGAGAGAUCUGAAGCCAGAAUGGGCGUCAUGCAAGAGGCUCUAGAGUUGCAGACAGUUGCAGCCCAGAUACGACGUGCAAAGAGAGACAUCCCAGAUCUCCCACACAGAACUCCGGCGCGCUUUGAAGUGUUGACAACACAUAAAAUUAAAAGCAUCACAAUGCGAAUUAUCACGUUGUUUUUUCCACUUUGAUAGCCUCUACAAAGCAUUUUAUACCGAUGAAUCAAUACAAAUGUCUCUUUAUAAAGACAUUGGAAACAAAAAGAUACAUUUUUUUUUUUCCUUAAGAGAAACCGACACAACUAACAAAAAGAUUUCAGCCCUGGCUUGCAGGAUAGCUCUAGGUAACAUAGUGAGUUUGUCUCUCCUUUUCACAGUGGCCUUGGAGGUCACUGCUGUCUACUUGCUUGGGUCAAUCAUUCAGCCUCCGGAUGAAUGUUCUGCCUGCUGAUUAGUCAGCACCAUGAGAUGAGACAAACAAGCCACAAUUGCAUUGCUAUUGCCUCCUGACUGCACACACAUGUGUGUGCACAUGUAUAAGAAUAUAUACAGUGUGUGUAAAUAUAUAGAGGCGUGUGUGUGUGUGUGUGUGUAUUUUGUGGUUUGGUAAAAUAAAGCUUGCAAAUUAGGAUUAAUUUA
rnacentral:lncRNA from 10 species